rnacentral:rRNA from 1 species
GGGGAAUAUUGCACAAUGGGCGAAAGCCUGAUGCAGCAACGCCGCGUGAGUGAUGAAGGUCUUCGGAUUGUAAAGCUCUGUCUUUUGGGACGAUAAUGACGGUACCAAAGGAGGAAGCCACGGCUAACUACGUGCCAGCAGCCGCGGUAAUACGUAGGUGGCGAGCGUUGUCCGGAUUUACUGGGCGUAAAGGGUGCGUAGGCGGAUGUUUAAGUGAGAUGUGAAAUACCCGGGCUUAACUUGGGUGCUGCAUUUCAAACUGGAUAUCUAGAGUGCAGGAGAGGAGAAUGGAAUUCCUAGUGUAGCGGUGAAAUGCGUAGAGAUUAGGAAGAACACCAGUGGCGAAGGCGAUUCUCUGGACUGUAACUGACGCUGAGGCACGAAAGCGUGGGUAGCAAAC